GAUGAAGAACGCAGCGAAAUGCGAUAAGUAAUGUGAAUUGCAGAAUUCAGUGAAUCAUCGAAUCUUUGAACGCACACUGCGCCCGCUAGUAUUCUGGCGGGCAUGCCUGUCCGAGCGUCAUUUCAACCCUCAAGCCCCCGGGCUUGGUGUUGGGGAUCGGCGAGCCUCCGCGCCCGCCGUCCCCUAAAUCUAGUGGCGGUCUCGCUGUAGCUUCCUCUGCGUAGUAGCACACCUCGCACUGGGAAACAGCGCGGCCACGCCGUUAAACCCCCAACUUCUGAACGUUUGACCUCGGAUCAGGUAGGAAUACCCGCUGAACUUAAGCAUAUCAAUAAGCGGAGGA
rnacentral:misc_RNA from 1 species